CACGUAGUUAGCCGGUGCUUUUUCUGCAGGUACCGUCACUUUCGCUUCUUCCCUGCUAAAAGAGGUUUACAACCCGAAGGCCGUCAUCCCUCACGCGGCGUUGCUGCAUCAGGCUUUCGCCCAUUGUGCAAUAUUCCCCACUGCUGCCUCCCGUAGGAGUCUGGGCCGUGUCUCAGUCCCAGUGUGGCCGGUCACCCUCUCAGGCCGGCUACCCGUCGACGCCUUGGUGAGCCAUUACCUCACCAACAAGCUGAUAGGCCGCGAGCCCAUCCCCAACCAAAAUUCUUUCCAGUAACUGACCAUGCGGUCGCUACUCGUAUCCAGUAUUAGACGCCGUUUCCAGCGCUUAUCCCAGAGUCAGGGGCAGGUUGCUCACGUGUUACUCACCCGUUCGCCACUGAUCCACCCAGCAAGCUGGGCUUCACCGUUCGACUUGCAUGUGUUAAGCACGCCGCCAGCGUUCAUCCUGAGCCAGGAUCAAACUCU
rnacentral:rRNA from 1 species